rnacentral:rRNA from 1 species
UGGGGAAUUUUGGACAAUGGGCGAAAGCCUGAUCCAGCAAUGCCGCGUGAGUGAUGAAGGCCUUCGGGUUGUAAAGCUCUGUCUUUUGGGACGAUAAUGACGGUACCAAAGGAGGAAGCCACGGCUAACUACGUGCCAGCAGCCGCGGUAAUACGUAGGUGGCAAGCGUUGUCCGGAUUUACUGGGCGUAAAGGAUGCGUAGGCGGAUUUUAAGUGAGAUGUGAAAUACCCGGGCUUAACUUGGGUGCUGCAUUUCAAACUGGGAAUCUAGAGUGCGGGAGAGGAGAAUGGAAUUCCUAGUGUAGCGGUGAAAUGCGUAGAGAUUAGGAAGAACACCAGUGGCGAAGGCGAUUCUCUGGACCGUAACUGACGCUGAGGCAUGAAAGCGUGGGUAGCAAACAGGAUUAGAUACCCUGGUAGUCCACGCCGUAAACGAUGAGUACUAGGUGUAGGAGGUAUCGACCCCUUCUGUGCCGCAGUUAACACAAUAAGUACUCCGCCUGGGAAGUACGAUCGCAAGAUUAAAACUUAAAUGAAUUGACGGGGUCAUAGC